UGAACGCUGGCGGCGUGCCUAAUACAUGCACGUCGAGCGAACGGACGAGAAGCUUGCUUCUCUGAUGUUAGCGGCGGACGGGUGAGUAACACGUGGAUAACCUACCUAUAAGACUGGGAUAACUUCUGGAAACCGUAGCUAAUACCGGAUAAUAUUUUGAACCGCAUGGUUCAAAAGUGAAAGACGGUCUUGCUGUCACUUAUAGAUGGAUCCGCGCUGCAUUAGCUAGUUGGUAAGGUAACGGCUUACAAAGGCAACGAUGCAUAGCCGACCUGAGAGGGGGAACGGCCAAACGGGAAAUGAGACACGGAACAGAAUACUACGGGAGGCAGCAGAAGGGAAUAUUCCGCAAUGGGCGAAAGCAUGACGGAGCAACGCCGCGUGAGUGAUGAAGGUCUUCGGAUCGUAAAACUCUGUUAUUAGGGAAGAACAUAUGUGUAAGUAAAUGUGCACAUCUUGACGGUACCUAAUCAGAAAGCCACGGCUAACUACGUG
rnacentral:rRNA from 1 species